rnacentral:lncRNA from 1 species
UAUAUAUAUAUAUAUAUAGUGAGGCUACUAUGCUAUCGGAAGCACGGAGCCUUCCGUGCUUCCAGCUCGUUUUCGAUGUUGCGACUUUCGAAUCAUCGAUCGGCUCCGUUAAACUUGAUCUAGAGUAUUUGAAAUACCUAGAAAAUAAAUUUUAUGAUUUUACGAUAUCAUUUGCCUAGUGAACGAAGGGGCUCAAAAUCAACGGCUGAAAAUAAAAAUCUUACAAAAUGUAAUAAUAUGACAUUAAAAUUUUAAAUCAAAGAUAUUGAUCUUGUUUUAU